rfam:Tupaia chinensis contig62084, whole genome shotgun sequence.
UCACUUAAGCAGUAUAUAUACUAAAACUGGAAUGAAACAGAAAAGAUUAGAAUGGCCCCUGCGCAAGGGUAAUAUGCAAAUUUGUGAAGCAUUAUAUAUUUUG